AACUCAUGAUUGGGGCAUUUUCUAAGCAUUAUUUUGAAUCUCUCCCAUGUCGCACAAAAAAAUUCCUCAGCUCCUUGUCUGAACAUAGAGAUUUCAGACUUUGCU
rnacentral:snoRNA from 1 species